rnacentral:lncRNA from 1 species
UUUUUUCCAUCGCUGCUCUGGCCAGUUGGCCGUGGCAGGGGGGUGGCGUCUGAAUUUUCCUUCCUUGUUCCCACAUCCCCCUCGCUUGGCUGCCAGCUCCCUCCUCCUUCCAGAAGCAGCCUGUAGCAGGGCAGAAGGCAGGACUCUGGCAAGCCACACAGCUUCACGAACCACGCCAGUUUCUGGAAGAGGGGUCAAUAAGAGGCUUGUUUCCACCUAUGGCCAGGUACGUACUUGCUGGGCUGGUGAAUGGGCUAGCAAUGGCUCUGGGUAUAUGUGUAUAGUUGUGUACAUGUGUGUGGGAGUGCGUUUGUGGGUGUGUGGGUGUGUGGGAGGAAGGCUGACUGGGCUGGUAUUCAGACAUUUGUACUGCUGCUUGGUAACAGUGAGUAUUUUUUUUCUUCUACAAAAGGGCAUCUCUGGGAACAGAGACAAAACAAUGGGGCCUAGUGGAAGAAGCACAGUACUGGGAGAUGGGAGACCUGGCUUCUAAUCCUGGCUCAGUCAUUUUCCUGCUGUGUGACCUCGGGCAAGUCACUUAACUUCUCUGGGCCUCAGGUUCUUCCUCUGCAAAAUGGGGAUUCAGUACCUGUUUUCUCUCUCCCCUUUAAACUAUAAGCUCCAUGUAGGACUGGCAUUGGGUCUGAUCUGAUUACAUUGUAUUUGCCCCAGAAUUUGGCACAGUGCUUAGGGAUCACUUAAUGAAUACUGCAAUCAUCAUUAUUAUCAUUAUCAAAAAAAAUUAAAAGAAAUGGCAAGGGUCACUUAGGUGAGGGGAAGAGUGGAAAG